UCCGGUAUGGUGUAACGGCUAACAUUACCGCCUUUCAUCAGUUUGAUUGGUCGCGGUAGCUCGGGGUUCGAUUCCCCGUACCGGAA